CGUGUAGGCGGCCAGGUAAGUCAGAUGUGAAGGUCCCGGGCUCAACUCGGGAAGUGCAUUUGAAACUGCUUGGCUUGAGUAGGAGAGAGGAAAGUGGAAUUCCUGGUGUAGAGGUGAAAUUCGUAGAUAUCAGGAGGAACACCGGUGGCGAAGGCGGCUUUCUGGCUCUAUACUGACGCUGAGACGCGAAAGCGUGGGUAGCAAACAGGAUUAGAUACCCUGGUAGUCC
rnacentral:rRNA from 1 species